CACGUAGGUAACCUACCCUCAGGACUGAGAUAACCCCGGGAAACUGGGGCUAAUAUUAGAUAGAUAAAAGAUACUGGAAUGUUCUUUUAUCCAAAGCUUUUGCGCCUGAGGAUGGGCCUGCGUCCGAUUAGGUUGUUGGUGGGGUAAUGGCCCACCAAGCCUACGAUCGGUACGGGCAGUGAGAGCUGAAGCCCGGAGUUGGGGACUGAGACAAGGCCCCAGGCCCUACGGGGCGCAGCAGGCGCGAAACCUCUGCAAUGCGGGAAACCGUGACAGGGGGAUCCCAAGUGCUCAUGCAUUGCAUGGGCUGUUCUUUGGUCUAAGUAACCAGAGGAGUAAGGGCUGGGCAAGACCGGUGCCAGCCGCCGCGGUAAUACCGGCAGCUCAAGUGGUAGCCGCGAUUAUUGGGCCUAAAGCGUUCGUAGCCGGAUAAGUAAGUCUUUGGUUAAAUCCUGCGACUUAACCGUGGGAAAUCUAGAGAUACUGCUUGUCUUGAGACCGGGAGAGGUUGGAGGUACUCCCAGGGUAGGGGUGAAAUCCUGUAAUCCUGGGG
rnacentral:rRNA from 1 species